GCCCCCACAAUGCCGCUCAGAAAAUGGUCCCAUCCCGGAAGUAAGAAAAAUUGCAGUUCCACCCUCAUCCGCUGGGGGCUGGUGCCAGAAGCGAGCAAAUCCUCAUUGACUCCCAUGUUAAAAAUGCCGAUUUCACAGCAGAAAUAAACAUGUUUACAGCCUGGUGCCAAAACAUGUUUUUUGUCUAAAUUAUCUAGUUUAUACUCAUGACAACUCUGAGGGGGGUGAAUUUUUUUCUCACUCUUCUGUUUAAGUGUAUUGAAAGCCUAAAAUUCUGUAUAAUUAAUGAGCAUCCGACACACGUGACCGCCGCCUCAGACCCACGUGACCACAGAGCUAGCUCCGUGGAAAGGCCUCAGUACAGCCUCGGUCUGGCUUGGAAACUGCUCCGGCAUUUUGAGUCUCUGUGUUUGUGUAUUCUUCUUUGGAUAUUAUUGGUGCAAUUGUUGGACAAAAUGACUUGCAGUGGUAUUAAUUGCACUAAUAGAGCGUCCAAGGAGUCUCCACUUCAUUUUUUUCGGUAAGUUAAAAUCUAUAUUCGUAUUUUAUGUCACUGCUACCUUUAAACUAGCUGAGUUUACCGAAGUAGCUAGCUAACUAUCAGUUUAACAUGUAGCAUGUACUGUUUAACCAUGAAAUUUAAAUGUAAAAUACGGUAAAAUAAUUAAUAGGGCAUAUUUAGAUGGGUAAUAGGGUAAAACCCAGUGCAUUUAAGAUAAAAAUGGGUUGAAAUAUGACGGAGCGCUAAGAGGGAGACUUCUGUGUCCAUUCUUCCAUCCGGUAAUCCCCAGCGUUCAGGCCGGGCAGCCUGACCGAUCCGGCGCCUACUUGCUGCGCCUAGCUGCUGCGCGGUCUGACCGCUCGUGGAGUUUUUCAUGUCUGACUUUAACCGCAUCUAAUACUGUAUUACGGCGUGAGCGCAACAGCGACAACUUAAUAUCGAUGUGUAAGCAGCCUGAGUGGUAGGGUGUUUUCAUCUGAACCCUCCAGCAGGCUAUGCUGCACUAUUGACGUGUUAGCGCGCGGCGCUAACAACUUAGCAACGUGACAUGUCUCUGAGAAAGCGUAAAACACGGACGCUUCUUCUGAAGCGGAAAAUAACACCUCUUCUUAAGCAGAGCAGGAUGUCGCCUCGGCUCGUUCACGGCCGAGCCGGACUGAGCUCGAUAACAUUGACCAAGCACAGCCACUGGGCCGUUGUAGCUGCCACCAGGCCUGCUGAAGGAACUCCAGCGGGUUUCAUCAGACUCGUAAAGUUUCUUGUUUUUGCUGGGGAUUUCUGUAUUUUACCGCUCCCUCCUGCAGUCUUCCCCUAUUAAAAUUUAAAAUGUGUAACUUUAUGUAUUGUGAUGAAUGACUAAUAUUCAUGUUAAACUGAAACGUUAGGCAUUUAGGGGGAAAAAACAAAAUAAUAAACAUUAUACAGAUGUCAAAUAAAUCAAACUGUAAUUAAACAAUAUAUUUUCAAAGUCAUAUAGACAGCAUGAUGGUUUGUGUGAUCCGCGCGGUUUCACUUACACCCCUUUAAUGAUCAGGCUGUUUUUUAUUAUUUUUAUCAGCUGAUAGCAGUUAAAAUUAUGGUAAAAAAUAAUUUUAUCUGUUUUUGAUAACUUAAUGCCCAGGAAGAGCAUCUUCCUGGGCAUUAAAUAUAACCCAAAUGUUUUAUUAUGAGCAGAUCUGAUGAAGGUUUAGACAAGCAGUCUGCAAAGUAAAACUUGUUUAGAGUCCAAACUCUUACUAAAGCUUUUGAAAAGAAAAAAUGGUUGAAUUUUGAGAAAUAUCCACAACAGGGGAGCGAGACCUCUGAAAAAUGUAUAUUUUCUCUGAAUUCAUAGAAUAAUGUGAAGAUUCUGGGAAAAGUUGGGAUUCUGAGAUUAAAACGUAAAUCUUUCUAAUCAUAAUUCUGGCAGUUUUUGUGUCCUUCUGCUGUGGAAAGUCGUGCAACAUGAAGAUACUGAGAAGAUGCUUACAACCUGUAUUUUUAUUCCAUCCAUAAAUAAAAUCAUGAGCUAUUUUUUUAAUCCAAAUUUGAUCCAAAGGGCCAUCGUUGGUUCCAGACCCGUUCUAGAACAUUCCUCUAAUCUUAAAGUCAUCAUCAGUUUCUUCCUUUUAACAAAUAUUUAUUUGUUCAAAUAUUUAAUAUUUAUAACUGGAAUAUUUGUUCCUCCCUCUCCCACUGCAGUUAGUCCUGUCCUGCAACCCUGUUUUUGCAGCUUAGUGAAGCCAACCAUCACUAACCGGGGGGUGGUUUUGGACCCAGAGAUGCGGAUGGACUCCCACAUUAGCCAGGGAAGGACCUGAUUGGUGUCCAGAGCCUGCUGAAGAAGCACCAGGCUCUGCAGGCUGAGAUCACAGGUCAUGAACCUCGCAUCAAGGCUGUCACCCAGAAAGGAGAGACCAUGGUGGAAGAAGGUCACUUCGCUGGUGAGGAAGUGAAGACUAAACUGUGGGAGCUUCAUGGACGUUGGGACACGCUGAAGGCCAAGGCGUCCCAGAGGAGGCAGGACCUGGAGGACUCUCUGCAGGCCCAGCAGUACUUUGCGGAUGCUAAUGAGGCCGAGUCCUGGAUGAGGGAGAAGGAGCCCAUCGUUGGAAGUCCAGACUAAGGGAAAGACGAGGACUUGGCCGAGGCUCUCCUGAAGAAGCACGAGGCCCUGAUGUCGGACCUGUCGGCUUACGGCAGCAGCAUCCAGGCCCUGAAGGAGCAGGCCCAGUCCUGCAGGCAACAAGGUGAUCAGCAGGUGCUUUUGUCCUGCAGGACCUGAAGGCCAACGAGUCCCGCCUGAGGGACAUCAACAAGGUGGCAUCUGAACUGGAGUCAGAAGGUCUGAUGGCUGAGGAGGCUCCUAUGGUUCAGGCUCAGCAACAAGAACAUCUGGGUUCUGCUCCUGGAAAGGUGCGUGUUGUCCUCCGCCUCCACCAGAACCAGACGUGGUGUUUAUGUUACCACUCAUUUGUUUGUUUACAGGAUGAAGCCGACUCUAACACGGCGUCACCCUGGAAGACCGUACGGUUGGGCGUUCAGACGACGGCUAACUUUAAUUCCAUCAAGGUAAGAGGAAGCUCUUCCCUUCCUGUAUGAGCGAUCCGUCUCCAGGUUUCUUCGUCCGGCGUCCAGCCCGCUGGCGUCCACCUUCAUCUCACCUUCAUCUCAUCUCACUUCAUUUAUAGUGCAAUACUUUCACAUUAUCAUUUUCCCACACUUCUGUAUACCUGUAUUUUGUUGUUUUUCAAUAAAGAAUGACAAAUUA